GCGCGGAUGGUGGAAUUGGUAGACACGCAAGACUUAGGAUCUUGUGAGGCAACUCGUGGGGGUUCAAGUCCCCCUCCGCGCACCA
rnacentral:tRNA from 1 species